rnacentral:misc_RNA from 1 species
ACGACCUUCUGCUACACACAGCGCGUAUGCAAGAUUGUUGUUUUAUAUAGUUUUUGAAUAAAUUUUAUAACAAAAUGCCUACGCGUUGCGUUGCUAUUGGGUGCAUAAACACUGCCGAUGUUAACAGAAAAUCCGAGGCACAAAUAGAACUGGAAAAAGUGACCAAGAUAACGUUUCAUUCGUUUCCGUCCGAUCCUGUUAGAAGAAUGCAAUGGAUAAAAAUCAUGAACCUUGAAGACAGAGGGAUUAACAAAAGAAGUCGUCUUUGUUCUCUUCACUUUAAGGAAGAAUUUAUGGAUCGCACAUCUCUAGUAUAUGUAAGAUUGAGAGAGAAUGCUGUUCCAUAUAUAUUUGACGAGACAUUGUGCGAUGAAAUGGAAGAUGAAAUAAGUAUAAAAAAUGAAGUAAAGUGGCCCCUGAAAUCUCUCUUUCCAAAUGAAUGCAGAAGAUGGUAAAGAGACUUCUAUCAUGUGUUCAACAUGUGACAAAGCGACAAAUACAUCACCCUCUUCGUCAUUGCGAAGAUCAACUGAGGAUAAAGAAACGAGAAUAUCGCCCGAAAGAAUAUGGAACAUGAACAACCCGACUGUAGAAGCAAUUAGGAAAGCAGCACGUGUUGAAAUUGAAAUUUUGCGCAAAAAAAUGAAAGUUAUGCGACAGAAACUCUUGCGAAAAGAGAAGAAAAUUGCAAUUAUGAAAACUACCUUGAAUAAAUUGAAAAUAGAGAAUUUAAUCAA